GAUUUCUGACAGACCGUUGCGGCCCGUGCUCGUUUCGGGCGUGUGUGCCGUGUCGUGUUUGUCAUCCUUCCAGAAAGCUGCGUCUACCAUUUACUUGGCCGGACGUACGCGAUCUGGAUCGAUUACUUUGAAAAAAUUAGAGUGUUUAAAGCAGGCUUUCGCUAUGAAUACAUUAGCAUGGAAUAAUAAUUUAGGACUUCGGUUCUAUUUUGUUGGUUUCUAGGACUGAAGUAAUGAUUGAUAGGGACAGUUGGGGGUGCUAGUAUUCCGCGGCCAGAGGUGAAAUUCUUGGAUUCGCGGAAGACUAACUACUGCGAAAGCAUU
rnacentral:rRNA from 1 species